GGGACAAAGGUUGUAGCUGGCCUCUCGGGGCAUGUGCACGCCUGAGCCCUUAAUCCACACACACCUGUGAACCAAUUGUAAGGGCCCCCUGAAAAGGGCCUUUACGUCUUAUUCAUCAGCCCAUUGCAUGUCUCAAGAAUGUAAACAUAUGUCCUCGCCUUAAAAAGCGUUGAUAAACUUAUACAACUUUCAACAACGGAUCUCUUGGCUCUCGCAUCGAUGAAGAACGCAGCGAAAUGCGAUAAGUAAUGUGAAUUGCAGAUUUUCAGUGAAUCAUCGAAUCUUUGAACGCACCUUGCGCUCCUUGGUAUUCCGAGGAGCAUGCCUGUUUGAGUGUCAUUAAAUUCUCAACUCCGAUCGAUUUGUUUCGACCUCGGAGCUUGGACUUUGGAGUGUGCUGGCGUCGGUCGGCUCCUCUCAAAUGCAUCAGCGGAAUCUAACGUUUCGGACGUCAGUGNGAUAAUCACGUUGCGCUGUCAACCGAUCCUGAAAGGCCCGCUCAUAAUGGUCUUCGGACAACUUCAUAUCAAAUUUGACCUCAAAUC
rnacentral:rRNA from 1 species